GUUAAUAGCCUUUGACUCUGACGUUACCUUUAGAAGAAGCACCGGCUAACUCCGUGCCAGCAGCCGCGGUAAUACGGAGGGUGCGAGCGUUAAUCGGAAUUACUGGGCGUAAAGCGCGCGUAGGCGGUUUGUUAAGUCGGAUGUGAAAGCCCCGGGCUCAACCUGGGAACUGCAUCCGAUACUGGCCGACUUGAGUGCGAGAGAGGGAGGUAGAAUUCCAUGUGUAGCGGUGAAAUGCGUAGAUAUAUGGAGGAAUACCGGUGGCGAAGGCGGCCUCCUGGCUCGACACUGACGCUGAGGUGCGAAAGCGUGGGUAGCAAACAGGAUUAGAUACCCAGGUAGUCCACACCGUAAACGAUGUCUGCUAGCCGUUGGGGAGCUUGAUAUCUUAGUGACGCAGCUAACGCACUAGCUUGACCGCCUGGGGAAGUACGGCCGCAAGGUUAAAACUCAAAUGAAUUG
rnacentral:rRNA from 1 species